AUGGACGCACGGAUGAGGCUGGUAGUUCAGUCAGCAUCAUUGAUAGUUGUGAUUCAGGCAUGGCUCAUAAUCAUGCACAGGAGAGAUGUCCGUCGUGCUGAGGGACCUGCAAUCAGUUACGCUCCAAUGCUUAUGCGGGAGAAGGAGGGGAUCGUCAAUCUGAACUACAUCUUGCAAAGACACAGAGGCCCUGUGGAUGCUUUGAAUGAAAAGGGCGCCAUUUGUCAGAUUUUUCCAGACCUUCAGGAGCAGGAGGCUACUACAAGAUAUCAUCCAAACCAGUGUGGAAGAGCAACUGAUCAUGUUCCUCCAUGUUGUUGGCCAUAA
rnacentral:rRNA from 1 species